rnacentral:rRNA from 1 species
AGUGAACGCUGGCGGUAGGCCUAACACAUGCAAGUCGAACGGCAGCACAGUAAGAGCUUGCUCUUACGGGUGGCGAGUGGCGGACGGGUGAGGAAUACAUCGGAAUCUACUUUUUCGUGGGGGAUAACGUAGGGAAACUUACGCUAAUACCGCAUACGACCUACGGGUGAAAGCAGGGGAUCUUCGGACCUUGCGCGAUUGAAUGAGCCGAUGUCGGAUUAGCUAGUUGGCGGGGUAAAGGCCCACCAAGGCGACGAUCCGUAGCUGGUCUGAGAGGAUGAUCAGCCACACUGGAACUGGGACACGGUCCAGACUCCUACGGGAGGCAGCAGUGGGGAAUAUUGGACAAUGGGCGCAAGCCUGAUCCAGCCAUACCGCGUGGGUGAAGAAGGCCUGCGGGUUGUAAAGCCCUUUUGUUGGGAAAGAAAAGCAGCAGGUUAAUACCCCGCUGUUCUGACGGUACCCAAAGAAUAAGCACCGGCUAACUUCGUG